rnacentral:lncRNA from 1 species
AAUUGCAUUGACCUCAACUAAUUUAAAAAUGCUGAUUUUUAUUUCUGCAUCUGUUGAAUAUUUUUCACAAUUUAAAACUGGUCAGUUUUGAAGGUAAAAUGUCAAGUCUUAAAAUGAGAAAGGCAACUAUGAGAAAAAGCCAAAACUAUAAAUCAAGCAUUUGGGAAAUGAAAACUGGAAGUGCAGCUUGUGAAUUUAAUUCACACAAACUUUUGUACUUUUUCUGUACAUAUAUAGUUUUUAAACUAUGGAUCAGAAAUACCACAUUUGGAACACUUUCUGUUAUUAGUUAAUAUUUUUAAGUAGUUAGAACCUGAUCUUAAGCCUAAAAACAGUCUUGAUCCUCUAAAUCUUUUAUAACUGCUUUGAUACACAGAAAUCUUUUAAAAAGGAGACACUCCCUGAAAUCUUUUGUUCACAAUGGUCAUACAAUGAUGCUUACAUGUUGCAGUAUCUAAUAUGACCACAGUAGUCUCAAUAACCCAAAUCAUUUUUUUUUUUGCCUUCAGAAACCUACACAGGAACAACCAGAUCAAACAGAUCU